UCUCGAUCCACGUCGUGAUGGUUCGGCCAUUUGCAAUAAUUAAUCUGGAUGUAACUCAAAAACACAAUUCUUGAAAACUGAUUUUCAAGAGAAUAAACACGAUUGUGAGCACGUCUAAUGGUCGAUGAGGCCCAAACUUUCACAAUACCCCCAAAUACCACAAUAAGGCUCUGAUACCACUUGUUGUGCGCCGAAAGCGGAACAAAUGUACUCACAACACCAAAGUUACUCAAGACAUACAAUAUGACACUCAAAACUUGAUGAUUUCAACAGCAGAAAGAAUGGCAUUAUAUAGCCUUGUGCUAAACCUAAAGAUAAACUAACAAGCCUAAAAAGACCUUGAGAAUAGGUCUUGGUCCUAGAGAAUAGGGCUUAUGACAGUGUUCAACAGAUUAUGUUUCAAUUAU